UAGUACUCCCCCUCUUCAUCUUCUGGGCUAGAGUAACUAACGAGGAUGUCCUGCUCUUUAAUCUAUGGAUCUGCUCUUUUCUGUGGCCUCCACCACAAAUACAAGGACUGAUGGAGAUAGAGCGUCCCAAUGAUCCCUUUGCCUCUUCGUUCGAUCAUCAAUCCGCAGGGAGUAUCAUCUUCUCCUAGCCCAGGCCAUGGAACACCCAACCACCUCUCCUUCAAUGUUUCCAUCUACAUCUACCACUAGAGUUCCAAAUCGAAGAAGGAAAAGCAAGAUUCGGGUUCUACUUCUAGGGAUGCUACAAACAGGUACAUGAAGCCUUUAAAUAAUGAGUCAGUUCAGCUAAUGGAUUUGGAGGAUCUGGUUGUUCAGACUUCAGAUCUUGGGAGAACAAAAAACAUGGCAGAAGUAGAGGUGUUGGCUUCCGACAGACUGCCGGUGGGCUAGAGAGACGCCCUCAUCAUCGUCUCACAAUCUCCCUCCCUUCCCCGACCCGAGCUGUUCUAUCAUUAUGUUCCAAGCGCCUCCAGAUUUUUUUUAGAAAAAGAGGAUUACCCCCGGCCUCUGCAUCCAAGCGCCUCCAGAUACCGCUGCCUUACCUGAAGGCGACGAAUUUGCAGACCCCUGCCGUCGACCGCAUGUCCUACUGUCACCGAAGGUUUUCGCUCAACGGCCGGUGUAGUGGCAUCAUCUCCAGCAUCUGCACCAUAAAGAACCAUGCCUCUGUUGCCUGAUGCGUCAUGAACAAGUCCCACGAGAAGGUUGUUCAUGAUUGCUCCAUGGCUGACAAGUCCUAAUCUUCCUCUACUAUCUUCUACUGCAGCGUGAGCUGUGAGGAGAUCUUGUAGCCUCCGCUCACUCAUCCACGAUCUUCAUGGACUACUUAUGAACCAAAAUACCAAGAGUCCAUUCUCUAAGAAGCCCCCCCGCAACGCGCGGGGUAUCAUCUAGUUAUUCUAAACUUACUGUUCAUUCGGGGCAUAUGCCUCCUAGAGCCAAAAUUAUCCCUCCCUCGCAAAUUUCUAUUUACAUGGCAUGAAUUGAUAUUAUAGAGAUAGAAAUAAUAAAUAUUUGACUUAUUAGCUUUGACUGAGGUCAAACUUCAUAAAGUUUGAUAACGUUUAUAGAAAACAAUAUGAACAUGUACAAUAACAAAUCUAUAUGAUGUCAAAAUAUAUUCAGUGAUGAGAUCUAAUAAUACUGAUUUGGUGGUGUAUACGUUUAUAUUUGUUUGUACCAACUUGGUCAAAGAUUAUGAAGUUUGACUUUAAGACAAAGCUAAUAUGGAGAGUAAAUAACCAAACGCAUCAACCAGUUUGAUAAACCAGUGUCCUAUAUUCGCAAGUGUACUACAUAGUUACCUCGUAAAAAAUGUGUAUUACAUAGUUAGACUAAUAGAUUGUAUAAUCCACUCAAAGUUGGUGGUAACAUUUUUGUGUAUAGAUCAUAUUACUUCAGACUUGAGUGACCAAACAGUAAAAAUACAUUGACAGGUUCCGAGUAGUGUAUUAUGUUGGCACCAGCUAGCGGACCACGGUACGAUCCACAAAGUGAUGGAAGUAUAGUGGCCUUAGCUAGCACGACAGAUCGACGGCACUGCAAGGAUUUUUUCUAUCUCCUUAUCACCUUAUGGCAUGCAUUGUGGCAGUGGUAGGAGGAUAGAUCUAUCACUUGCGAUGAGGAGACACUAGGUCAGAGCAAACAUGUGGUAUGAAGGAGAAAACAAUUUCCAUGGGACGAGAAAACAAUUUUAAAACUAGAACUCACCGCAACUACCCAUGUAACUACUCCCUCCGUCCCACAAUAUAAGAUGUUUUUGUAAGCUAUAUUAGCUUGCAAAAAAAUCUUAUAUUGUGGGACGAAGGGAGUACAUGGCUACUAUAGUGGUGUUUGUCAUUUAACACACUAAAAAUGUGUAGCAUGAGCAGCUAGUAAUUUUAGUUGUCUCAUGUUGCUAACUAUCGAACGGACAACAGGGUAACAUACAGUUGACAUGUUGUCUCAUGUUGGUAACUAUAACAUGACCACAAAAGCAAAGGGUGACAUGUUGUCUCAUGUUGGUAACUAUAACAUGACCACAAAAGCAAAGGGCGUCCAUAUCCCUGCCAAAAGCAUUGUAUGUGGGAUAACCAACUAACGUUGUCCAUCAACAAACCGGCUUCCUAAAUUGCUGACAGUGAAGUGGUCCAUCAACAAAAGAAAAGGGCGUCCAUAUCCCAGGUCCUCCUCGUUGCCGGAGCAGACGACCGCCGUGGAGCUCGAGAGCCCAGGAGCAAGGGUGUCGGCGCGAAGAGCCUGACGAAUGUCCACUUGCGCCGCUACAGCCUGCGGUGCGGAUUACAAGUACUUCGUCAUCGCCGGAGGAGGAAGAACUUGGAGAGGAGAAGGGACUCGUAGGUGAUGAGGAGGAGAUCCGGAGGUGUGAACGUGCAUCACCGGAGCACGACAUAUAUAGCCGCGGUCAGGCCAUGCGAACGGACGGUCAGCCCGCUUCAAAACGGCACAUCGACCAAUGUUGAUUUCUUGGGGUGCGGCAUCCGUAUUAAAGAGGUGACACCUAAGAGGCCGCGUCGGUCAGUGCCGCCCUCCCGUUCAGUCACGUCGCACGACAUCAAUGUUGACCGCAACGUGCUCUGGACCGGUAUGAAUGCGGCGCAGGAAGCGACACGUGCAUUGGAUGGAAAAUCGCGGGAGAGGCGGGAUGGGUUUUGGGUGGCAACGGUCCAAAGAUGCUCGCAAGACGUCGGACCACCGAGCAGACUAAUCUUUUUAGUAACUGAAAUUAAUGUAAUUGCUAAUUAGCAGUAUUGGAUGAGACCAAUGGCUACUUGUGUUUUCCA